rnacentral:rRNA from 1 species
AGAGUUUGAUCCUGGCUCAGAUUGAACGCUGGCGGCAGGCUUAACACAUGCAAGUCGAGCGGUAACAGGAGAAGCUUGCUUCUCGCUGACGAGCGGCGGACGGGUGAGUAAUACUUAGGAAUCUGCCCAGUAGUGGGGGAUAGCACGGGGAAACUCGUAUUAAUACCGCAUACACCCUACGGGGAAAAGGGGGCGCUUGCGCUCUCGCUAUUGGAUGAGCCUAAGUCGGAUUAGCUAGUUGGUGGGGUAAAGGCCUACCAAGGCGACGAUCUGUAGCUGGUCUGAGAGGAUGAUCAGCCACACCGGGACUGAGACACGGCCCGGACUCCUACGGGAGGCAGCAGUGGGGAAUAUUGGACAAUGGGGGCAACCCUGAUCCAGCCAUGCCGCGUGUGUGAAGAAGGCCUUUUGGUUGUAAAGCACUUUAAGCAGUGAAGAAGACUCUAUGGUUAAUACCCAUAGACGAUGACAUUAGCUGCAGAAUAAGCACCGGCUAACUCUGUGCCAGCAGCCGCGGUAAUACAGAGGGUGCAAGCGUUAAUCGGAAUUACUGGGCGUAAAGCGAGCGUAGGUGGCUUAAUAAGUCAGAUGUGAAAUCCCCGGGCUUAACCUGGGAACUGCAUCUGAUACUGUUGGGCUAGAGUAGGUGAGAGGGAGGUAGAAUUUCAGGUGUAGCGGUGAAAUGCGUAGAGAUCUGAAGGAAUACCGAUGGCGAAGGCAGCCUCCUGGCAUCAUACUGACACUGAGGUUCGAAAGCGUGGGU